AUUGAACGCUGGCGGCAGGCCUAAUACAUGCACGUCGAACGAGUGGCGGACGGGUGAGUAAUGUCUGGGAAACUGCCUGACGGAGGGGGAUAACUACUGGAAACGGUAGCUAAUACCGCACACCAUCAGAUGUGCCCAGCUGGGAUUAGCUUGCUGGGGGGGUAACGGCCCACCAAGGCGACGAUCCCUAGCUGGUCUGAGAGGAUGACCAGCCACACUGGAACUGAGACACGGUCCAGACUCCUAAGGGAGGCAGCAGUGGGGAAUAUUGCACAAUGGGCGCAAGCCUGAUGCAGCCAUGCCGCGUGUAUGAAGAAGGCCUUCGGGUUGUAAAGUACUUUCAGCGGGGAGGCGUUACCCGCAGAAGAAGCACCGGCUAACGCCGUGCCAGCAGCCGCGGUAAUAC
rnacentral:rRNA from 1 species